CCGGUGUAUGUAGCCGUGCUCCGGUGUGUUGCCGAGCAACGGGGUGUGCCGAGCCAAGUGUGAGGGGUCUAGAAGAUGUAGUCUCUGUCGGGACCGUGGUGUGUGCCCGGUCGACGUGAGAGUUCUUCCGGGUUGUGCCGCGUGCGUGCGUAUGUACCUCAUGUAUGUGUUCGAGUCGUUGUGAGAAAUAAAGCCAAGAUACAGGCGUUGGUGCGCCGCGGCGUUCGUCGCCGGAAAAAUCAUGGUGUUUCCUUCAUCUACCUUCGUCCGGCGUUUGGGUCGCCGGUGGGUUUAUCCCAACAUUUGGUAUCAUGAGCUUG
rnacentral:lncRNA from 1 species